GAUGAACGCUGGCGGCGUGCCUAAUACAUGCAAGUCGAGCGAACGGACGAGAAGCUUGCGUCUCUGAUGUUAGCGGGGGACGGGCGAGUAACAAGUGGAUAACCUACCUAUAAGACUGGGAUAAUUUCGGGAAAACGGAGCUAAUACCGGAUAAUAUUAUGAACCGCAUGGUUCAAAAGUGAAAGACGGUCUUGCUGUCACUUAUAGAUGGAUCCGCGCUGCAUUAGCUAGUUGGUAAGGUAACGGCUUACCAAGGAAACGAUGCAUAGCCGACCUGAGAGGGUGAUCGGCCCCACUGGACCUGAGACACGGUCCAGACUCCUACGGGAGGCAGCAGUAGGGAAUCUUCCGCAAUGGGCGAAAGCCUGACGGAGCAACGCCGCGUGAGUGAUGAAGGUCUUCGGUUCGUAAAACUCUGUUAUUAGGGAAGAACAUAUGUGUAAGUAACUGUGCACAUCUUGACGGUACCUAAUCAGAAAGCCACGGCUAACUACGU
rnacentral:rRNA from 1 species